GGCAAGAGCUGGAUGGAAACCCACAGACGACCUCCUCUAAAAAGCAUAUACAUACAGGAAUAUAGUCCAGAAAAGUUUCACAUGAAAAGAAAAAAUAAAGUGUACAUAUAAAUCAGUGGCAUAUACAUACAGGAAUAUAGUCAAGAAAAGUUUCACAUGAAAAGAAAAAAUAAAGUGUACAUAUAAAUCGGUGGU